CUAACCCUAGGUUUGGAUGGUUUUUGGCCUGAAGAGAUUGAGGCUGAAAAGCAAAAGGGAAUGCGAAGGCCUGGACCCAGACAGGGCAGACCAAACGCAGCCGACCCCGCGACUGUAGAACAGCGAGGGUUUUCCAUCCGGCUUGAAAAAGCCUUGGCAUGACAGGCCGCGUGGUGCGGACGGUGCGGGGCUCGACAGGCCGGAAAAGCCACUGAAGUGGUGAAACGAUCUGCCGGGGUUGGACGCCUCUUUAUCUACGAAUCGUCCGCCUUUUCGUUUUCGCCAAGACCUUCGGGAAGGUGAGGGAAAUCCGCAAGCCGGCCAGAUCAAGGCCGGCUCGACGCUGUGAGCCAGGAGACCUGCCGUCCGUGACGGGCGAAA
rnacentral:ncRNA from 2 species